rnacentral:misc_RNA from 1 species
UUUCCGUAGGUGAACCUGCGGAAGGAUCAUUAUAGAAUAAACCUGAUGUGGUUGUAGCUGGCCCUUUCGGGAGCAUGUGCACACCCGUCGUCUUUAUCUUUCCACCUGUGCACCUUUUGUAGACCUGGAUGUAACACUUUCCGAGGCAACUCGGUCGGGAGGAAUGCUGUCAGCUUUCCUUGAAUGUCCAGGCCUAUGUUUUCAUAUACCCCAAAGAAUGUAACAGAAUGUAUUAUUGGGCCUUGUGCCUAUAAACUAUAUACAACUUUCAGCAACGGAUCUCUUGGCUCUC